UACGGGGGGGGCAAGCGUUGUUCGGAAUUACUGGGCGUAAAGGGCGCGUAGGCGGCCCGCUUAGUCGGACGUGAAAUCCCUCGGCUCAACCGAGGAACUGCGUCCGAUACUGGCGGGCUCGAAUCCGGGAGAGGGAUGUGGAAUUCCAGGUGUAGCGGUGAAAUGCGUAGAUAUCGGGAGGAACACCAGUGGCGAAGGCGGCAUCCUGGACCGGUAUUGACGCUGAGGCGCGAAAGCCAGGGGAGCAAAC
rnacentral:rRNA from 1 species